GCAGGGAACAGGGUUUCUGAAGGGAUAGACCGGUGGGCGGUGUCGCCGGGUGUCUACCUCCAGGGGUCGUUCGUGAGCCAGAGAAACCCGGACUUAGGAAGGAAGGGGCCUGGCCACAGCCCUUCCGCUGUUGGCUGUGCAUUGCCCUUAUUCCCAGCUCAUUCUCUGUCGUUGAGUCGAGCAAGGAGGGUCAGACAGAACCAGGUCCACCACGUUUGUGUCUUUCCGCCAGAAGAAACUUGUACACAGAAGAGAUACACAAGGGACAUGGAGGCACAGAGAAAAGCCCAUGUGAAGAGGCAGCAAAAGAGUGGCCAUGUGCAAUCCAAGAAGAGAGGCCUCAGAGGAAGCCAGCCCUGCCAACACUUUGAUCUUGAACUUUCGGGUUCCAGACUGUGAGAAAAUAAAUUUUUAUUGUUUAA
rnacentral:lncRNA from 10 species